UACAGAGGUCCCAAGCGUUGUUCGGAUUCAUUGGGCGUAAAGGGUGUGUAGGUGGCGCCGUAAGUCGGGUGUGAAAUCUCGGGGCUUAACUCCGAAACUGCAUUCGAUACUGCGGUGCUUGAGGACUGGAGAGGAGACUGGAAUUCAUGGUGUAGCAGUGAAAUGCGUAGAGAUCAUGAGGAAGACCAGUGGCGAAGGCGGGUCUCUGGACAGUUCCUGACACUGAGACACGAAGGCCAGGGGGAGCAAACGGGG
rnacentral:rRNA from 1 species